AGCCGACCCGAAGAGAGCCCACCUACAUUACAUACGAGGAAUUCUACACUGUCACACUUGCACCACAUCAUCAAUAACAAUCCAAUCACAUUCCUUCUUUUCAAACAAAAGUACAAUAAAAAUAUUUUUUUACAAUCAUGAUGGGACAUAUAUUCUUAAAAGGAUUAAUUUGAUUGGUUUGUUACGCCACGUCACUAAUAUACCCGUUGCAUUCUAGAAUUUUUCCAUACAUACACACAUCCACGGAUCCACCCAACACCCACACUCACU
rnacentral:lncRNA from 1 species